GUGCCAGCAGCCGCGGUAAUACAGAGGGUGCAAGCGUUAAUCGGAAUUACUGGGCGUAAAGCGAGCGUAGGUGGCUUGAUAAGUCAGAUGUGAAAGCCCCGGGCUUAACCUGGGAACGGCAUCUGAUACUGUUAGGCUAGAGUAGGUGAGAGGAAGGUAGAAUUCCAGGUGUAGCGGUGAAAUGCGUAGAGAUCUGGAGGAAUACCGAUGGCGAAGGCAGCCAUCUGGCCUAAUACUGACACUGAGGUGCGAAAGCAUGGGGAGCAAACAGGAUUAGAUACCCCGGUAGUCC
rnacentral:rRNA from 1 species